GAUGAACGCUGGCGGCGUGCCUAAUACAUGCAAGUCGAGCGAACGGACGAGAAGCUUGCUUCUCUGAUGUUAGCGGCGGACGGGUGAGUAACACGUGGAUAACCUACCUAUAAGACUGGGAUAACUUCGGGAAACCGGAGCUAAUACCGGAUAAUAUUUUGAACCGCAUGGUUCAAAAGUGAAAGACGGUCUUGCUGUCACUUAUAGAUGGAUCCGCGCUGCAUUAGCUAGUUGGUAAGGUAACGGCUUACCAAGGCAACGUUGCAUAGCCGACCUGAGAGGGUGAUCGGCCACACUGGAACUGAGACACGGUCCAGACUCCUACGGGAGGCAGCAGUAGGGAAUCUUCCGCAAAGGGCGAAAGCCUGACGGAGCAACGCCGCGUGAGUGAUGAAGGUCUUCGGAUCGUAAAACUCUGUUAUUAGGGAGGAACAUAUGUGUAAGUAACUGUGCACAUCUUGACGGUACCUAAUCAGAAAGCCACGGCUAACUACGUG
rnacentral:rRNA from 1 species